GGCGGAUCGCGGAGGCACCGAGCACUCCCCGGCAGGCCCGGUGGGCCCCGCGGGUCCCGCCUCUCCUCGCGGCCCGGGGUCCCCUCGAGGUCCCGGCAGUCCCGGCCUCCCGCCCUCGCCUUUCUCUCCCGGAGCCCCGGGCGCGCCGUCGCGGCCGUCGCGGCCAUCGCGGCCCGGCAAGCCCUGGCUGCCAUGGUGGCCCGGCGUGCCUGGAAGGCCGGGGUGCCCCGGGCAGAGG
rnacentral:lncRNA from 1 species